rnacentral:rRNA from 1 species
UGCUCCAGAAUAGCUCUUGGAAACGGGUGGUAAUGCUGGAUGCUCCAACUUGACGCAUGUCUUGUUGGGAAAGUGUUUAGUGGCAUGGGAUGGGGUCGGCGUCCUAUCAGCUUGUAGGCGGGGUAAGUGGCCCACCUAGGCUUCGACUGGUAGCCGGCCUGAGAGGGCGGACGGCCACAUUGGGACUGAGAUACGGCCCAGACUCCUACGGGAGGCAGCAGCA